rnacentral:rRNA from 1 species
GUAUGCUUUGGAAACUGUUAGACUUGAGUGCAGAAGGGGAGAGUGGAAUUCCAUGUGUAGCGGUGAAAUGCGUAGAUAUAUGGAGGAACACCGGUGGCGAAAGCGGCUCUCUGGUCUGUCACUGACGCUGAGGCUCGAAAGCGUGGGUAGCGAACAGGAUUAGAUACCCUGGUAGUCCACGCCGUAAACGCUGAGUGCUAGGUGUUAGGUCCUUUCCGGGACUUAGUGCCGACGCUAACGCAUUAAGCACUCCGCCUGGGGAGUACGACCGCAAGGUUGAAACUCAAAGGAAUUGACGGGGGCCCGCACAAGCGGUGGAGCAUGUGGUUUAAUUCGAAGCAACGCGAAGAACCUUACCAGGUCUUGACAUCCCGAUGCCCGCUCUAGAGAUAGAGUUUUUCUUCGGAACAUCGGAGACAGGUGGUGCAUGGUUGUCGUCAGCUCGUGUCGUGAGAUGUUGGGUUAAGUCCCGCAACGAGCGCAACCCUUAUUGUUAGUUGCCAUCAUUAAGUUGGGCACUCUAGCGAGACUGCCGGUAAUAAACCGGAGGAAGGUGGGGAUGACGUCAAAUCAUCAUGCCCCUUAUGACCUGGGCUACACACGUGCUACAAUGGUUGGUACAACGAGUCGCAAGCCGGUGACGGCAAGCUAAUCUCUGAAAGCCAAUCUCAGUUCGGAUUGUAGGCUGCAACUUGCCUACAUGAAGUCGGAAUCGCUAGUAAUCGCGGAUCAGCACGCCGCGGUGAAUACGUUCCCGGGCCUUGUACACACCGCCCGU